UAACCUUUGGGUUGAGUCCUAAAUUGCUUCACCUCUUCAGCUUCUCCACUGCCUCCCCAUCACCGUGCUGACAGCCCUCGUGUAACAGCAGCAAACACAGCAGUGCACGUGUCUAGGCCCCGCUCACAGCUAACUGCAAGGAAGAAAAAAAACCAGGGGGAAGAAAAGAAAAGAAAAUUAACCUGGACGCUGCCUCUGUGUCCCUGCACAGCAAUGCUUUCCUUUGGAGGCCCCAC
rnacentral:lncRNA from 1 species